UGUUGUUUGAAUUAUCAGAGAAAUUAGAAUGUUUAGUUCUUGAUUUUAAAGUGUAAUGUCACCCUUGCUGUCCAAUUUGUGUGAGAUAUUCAUUCCACUGAAACACAAACUCUGGAAGAGACCAUUUUCUGUGUCUUUCUCUCAGUCAUGGCUGGUGAAACACUCUCGCGUUCUUGGCUUCUUCAUUGAUGGGAAAUUUUUCAGCCCUGCAGAUAGACAGACCCAUGAUGUGACUGAUUCCAAAGCAGCGGUGGUCUGCAGCACUGUUUGUGCUAAAGAUGAGGAUGUUGCGUCUGCUGCCUCAUCUGCAGCUGGAGCCUUCAAAACCUGGAGUGAAUUGAGCUGUUACCAAAGAGCCAAAGUGUUACUCAAGUUGGCGAGUGUCCUGCAAAGACACAGUCAGUGUGUAUCUGAGCUGUGUGAGCUCUCUCAGUCUUCUACCUCUCC